AACUGGAAACCUCGAGCACCCCUGGACUGGACCAUGCGUAUCCCACUCUGGGCUCUCUGGGCCUUGGGAAGAACAUGUGACAGGAGAUCCAAUGGUAACAGAUCUGAAAAAUAAAUAAAUCAAAGAGGGAAAUGGCUAGAGUGAAGAACACUUUAUGGAUCAUAUUUCAAAGACUUUGGCAAAGCAAAGAGAAGACCGCAGAGAGAGCGCUGGGAUCAAGAACCACUUCUGUGCAAUAAAUGCAGAAAGAAAAAUAGCCUUCAACCAUACCAGCGACUGAAGAUACCUGAAGACAUUUGAGUCAAGCAACAGCUGCUACAAACAGACCUGGCAACCACAUCUAAUCUGUAUCUUUUUAUACAACUACAUGCCCCUGCAUGUCAUGGCUCUGCUUCCUUAGUCAUGUUUUUCUUGGUCCUGUAGCAGAGCCAUGACAAAGUCUUUGGUUAUGUGUGGAGAGAAACAUAUUAUUGUCCAUUUGACAGUAAUAUACGUUCUCUCCAGUGUCUUGUCAUUGGCCCCAUUCCUCUUGUUUCCUCGUUAUCUUUCCCUAAGUGUUUGAUUACCCACACCUGCCCCGUGUCGUUAUCCCUCGUUUGUCUUCCCUUUAAAUACCCUCUUGUUUCUUUGUCUUGUGCUCGUGGAUUGUAUCGUGUGGAUUAUGUUUGUGCUCUCACCUAUGUUCCUGGUCCUUGCCCUGUUCGUGUUUCGUGAGUUUUGUGUUUUAUGAUUUAAGACGUUUGGUCGUGUCAUUUAGUUUAGUUUUACUGUUCUUGUUUUGCCCCCUCGUGGGAAGUCUUUUAUUUCAAGUUUGUUUCUUAGUUUAGUUCCUGU